rnacentral:rRNA from 1 species
AUGAUCGCGCCUCCCUGUCGCCGCUGUUGCUCCGUGCUCCGCCUCCAACCGAACUCUCCAUCGUCACCGGAACCGCGCCUCGUCAUCGUUCCUCCAUGGCGCUGUUGGGGAGAAGCUCUAUCGCGCUUGCGGCCAAGGGAAGCCCCGUGCCCGAGCUCCCCAAUCCGUUCUCACGCGCGCAGGCGCCUAAGCUCCGCCACCGCCUCGACCUCGCCAAGGCCACCGCAAGCCAUCCUCGGCCACCCACGACGCGCCCCUCUUCUUCCCUCCUGCUUCGUCUCCAUGGCGCCGCCGUCGUCCCGAUGCUCCUCCCUUCACCAUCGCGCCCCGCUUCUCCUUACUGAGGCCGCCGCCGGCGCCCCGAGCGCAACCGCGCCCUGCUGUAGCUUCUCCUCCACCUCGCGGCGACUCCCCUGCUCCAGCCGCUGCUGCCUGCUUCGUCCAUAG